rnacentral:rRNA from 1 species
UACGGAGGAGGCAAGCGUUAUCCGGAAUUAUUGGGCGCAAAGCGUCCGCAGGUGGCACCUCAAGUCUGCUGUCAAAGACCGGGGCUUAACCCCAGAAAGGCAGUGGAAACUGAAGUGCUAGAGUGCAGUAGGGGUAGAGGGAAUUCCCGGUGUAGCGGUGAAAUGCGUAGAGAUCGGGAAGAACAUCGGUGGCGAAAGCGCUCUGCUGGACUGCAACUGACACUCAGGGACGAAAGCUAGGGGAGCGAAUGGG